rnacentral:rRNA from 1 species
GACGAACGCUGGCGGCGUGCUUAACACAUGCAAGUCGAACGGAAAGGCCCUGCUUUUGUGGGGUGCUCGAGUGGCGAACGGGUGAGUAACACGUGAGUAACCUGCCCUUGACUUUGGGAUAACUUCAGGAAACUGGGGCUAAUAUCGGAUAGGAGCUCCUGCUGCAUGGUGGGGGUUGAAAAGUUUAGGCGGUUGGGGAUGGUCUCGCGGCUUAUCAGCUUGUUGGUGGGGUAGUGGCUUACCAAGGCUUUGACGGGUAGCCGGCCUGAGAGGGUGACCGGCCACAUUGGGACUGAGAUACGGCCCAGACUCCUACGGGAGGCAACAGGUGGGAAUAUUGCACAAUGGGCCGAAGCCUGAUGCAGCAACGCUGCGUGCGGGAUGACGGCCUUCUGGUUAUGAACCGCUUUCGCCUGUGACGAAGCGUGAGUGACGGUAAUGGGUAAAGAAGCACCGGCUAACUACGUG